rnacentral:rRNA from 1 species
UACGUAGGGUGCGAGCGUUGUCCGGAAUUAUUGGGCGUAAAGAGCUCGUAGGCGGUCUGUCGCGUCUGCUGUGAAAUCCCGAGGCUCAACCUCGGGCUUGCAGUGGGUACGGGCAGGCUAGAGUGCGGUAGGGGAGAAUGGAACUCCUGGUGUAGCGGUGGAAUGCGCAGAUAUCAGGAGGAACACCGAUGGCGAAGGCAGGUCUCUGGGCUGACACUGACGCUCAUGCACGAAAGCGUGGGGAGCAAACAGG